GGUUGACCUCGGAUCAGGUAGGGAUACCCGCUGAACUUAAGCAUAUCAAUAAGCGGAGGAAAAGAAACCAACAGGGAUUGCCUCAGUAACGGCGAGUGAAGCGGCAAGAGCUCAAAUUUGAAAGCUGGCCCCCUCGGGGUCCGCGUUGUAAUUUGCAGAGGAUGCUUCGGGUGCAGCCCCCGUCUAAGUGCCCUGGAACGGGCCGUCAUAGAGGGUGAGAAUCCCGUCUGGGACGGGGUGUCUGCGUCCGUGUGAAGCUCCUUCGACGAGUCGAGUUGUUUGGGAAUGCAGCUCUAAAUGGGUGGUAAAUUUCAUCUAAAGCUAAAUACUGGCCGGAGACCGAUAGCGCACAAGUAGAGUGAUCGAAAGAUGAAAAGCACUUUGAAAAGAGAGUUAAACAGCACGUGAAAUUGUUGAAAGGGAAGCGUUUGCGACCAGACUCGCCCGCGGGGUUCAGCCGGCAUUCGUGCCGGUGUACUUCCCCGUGGGCGGGCCAGCGUCGGUUUGGGCGGCCGGUCAAAGGCCCUCGGAAUGUAUCACCCCCCGGGGUGUCUUAUAGCCGAGGGUGCAAUGCGGCCUGCCCGGACCGAGGAACGCGCUUCGGCUCGGACGCUGGCGUAAUGGUCGUAAAUGACC
rnacentral:rRNA from 1 species